GCAGUUGGACUGCCGGGUCGUCAUGCGUCAUUGCAACUGGGUCCCCUCUGUACCAGAGGCUGGGUCCAUUGAUAUUGUACUAUUUGGAUAGCGGCGGUUAGACUGCCAGGUCCCCAUCUCUUGCUUUGUCACUGGGUCCCCUCUGUACCAGAGGCUGGGUCAGUUGGCCUUGCGUCAUUUGGAUGGUGGUAGUUGGACCGCUGGGUCUCCUUUGGUUGGAUAGCGGCAGUUGGACUGCCGGGUCACCAUGUGUCAUUGUAACUGGGUCCCCUCUGUACCAGAGGUUGGGCCCACUGGCGUUUUCCCCUCUCUUUUAGCCACACUAAUGCCUGUCUAGGUUGGUUAGUUCCCUGGGAUUCCUCGCAGUGGGGAACCCAUGAUUUGAAUCGGUUUGUCGUCGAGGCGCCGACACAAAAGGUGGGGGUAAAUGUGACAGAUUGGUCUACACCCCUCAAUCUGACUGAUUUUGGUCCUUUGUCUGUGAUUGGCUGGCCCAUUACUGGCAGGACUUUUAUGUUGAUAAAUGUAGUUUUUGGACGUGACGUGGGUCUCUUUCCGCCCCGCUGUUGUUUUGCCGGCAAAGGACGCCGGCUGGCGUGUGAGCUGCUGCUAGCCGUGAUCAUUAUCCGGUAGAUUUGGUACCUUCAGCCAUUCUUGUGUGGAACUGCACUCUGCUGUGAACUGGCGUUCACUUCGCGCUGCCUAUACUGCACCGGUGUGUUGCCCCAUCAUCUGUGCCCUGUGGCAGGCCUGAUUCGUGGUGCUUACGCUGGCUUGGAGUGGCCACAGUGGUUGGCCCCUGGGUACCUGACUGCAGUCAGUGGAUGGUAAGCUGGCCUAUGCUACGUUGAUGUUGUUGCUCCGAUGGUAACGAUGACCUUAGUCACUAAAUCUACCCUCACUUUCCUCAGUGUGUGGUCCAAAUUGCGAUUGUUCCGAACCACGGAUCUAUGAUCAGGUUAGCGGUGCCUCUCUGACGCUGUAAGUAUUCAUUUCUUCCUCUUGAUUGUCGCUGUCACCGAUUACCUCUAGGCUAGUGAGUAAUGGGUACCUGUCUGUUACAGGGGGAUUGCUAGCUACACUCCUCGGAGGUUGCUGUUUUGUUGCCGUCACACUCUGCGCCGGUUCCGACUGGCUCCACCUGCUCGUCCUGCUUUUGUUUGGUUUAAUUAUUUUUAUUUUCUGGCCCAUUUCUUGGGGACGCCAGCCUCCUCGCUGCGCACUGCGCAGGUCUAGUUACCUGUGUGUGUUGUGAGUGCGUGUGUGUCUGUGCGUCUGUAUGCGUGUGUGAUUGUCAUCUAGGCACGGCACCGGAGGCAAGUGUACACCCCCUUCAGUCAACCUACGGCGGUGUAGUUCUCCCCUCUCUUGCUAUACAAAAGUUAAGUUGCAUCUAGUCAUCACUGUGUAUGCAAAUUGUGUAAUACAUUAGUAUGUGUCAUUCUCGCUAUUGAGUGUCUCUCUCUUCUCUCCUCCCUGGACAGGUAUGGAGUUGCCAUAGCGCGCCGGUCUUCGGGUGGUGGAUUCCCUCACUUUUCCAUUGCUGUGUGCACUUGGGUGACUAUUACUAUUUUGCUGAGUGUAGUAGUAGAUGUGUGUUUUCUUUUUAUUUUGUGUGAGUACUAUCUUUAUUGUGUGUGUUUAUUUUGUGUGACCUUUUCCCUAGUCUUUAACUAUCCCCUUUUCAACCGUGCUGCUAUUGGUUAGCCUAAGCCUAGCUUUCCCCCCCCCUUUAAGAGUGAUACCAUUGCCCUGUCUCCCCCGUAUUGGGGCGGUUCGUACGAGUGAGUGUAGCCUCCCUUCCUCUCUCGCACAGGUGCCGUGCGUGUGUAUGUGUGGUGUGUGUUUGUGUGUGGCCAUUGGCCAUAUUGCUCCACAUAACGGCCCGCUAGUGGGCGUCUAAUAGGGAUCAGUGCAAUAUUGUCUGUAAUACAAUUCAUCCAUAUUGUAUUUUUGUAAUGUAUGAGUAUUUGUCCCUUGCAUCACCACUGCAUAUUUGCACACCUGUAUGACAAAUUCACAUCUGUAUGACUAUUGUAAUGUAAAGAGAAUAAACACUUGACUCAUGCCUGAGAGUGCUCCGAA